rnacentral:rRNA from 1 species
AGUGAACGCUGGCGGCAGGCCUAACACAUGCAAGUCGAACGGCAGCACGGCAGUAGCAAUACUGUGGGUGGCGAGUGGCGGACGGGUGAGGAAUACAUGGGAAUCUACCCUGUCGUGGGGGAUAACGUAGGGAAACUUACGCUAAUACCGCAUACGACCGAGAGGUGAAAGCGGCGGACCGCACGGCGUCGCGCGAUUGGAUGAACCCAUGUCGGAGUAGCUAGUUGGCGGGGUAAAGGCCCACCAAGGCGACGAUCCGUAGCUGGUCUGAGAGGAUGAUCAGCCACACUGGAACUGAGACACGGUCCAGACUCCUACGGGAGGCAGCAGUGGGGAAUAUUGGACAAUGGGCGCAAGCCUGAUCCAGCCAUGCCGCGUGAGUGAAGAAGGCCUUCGGGUUGUAAAGCUCUUUUGUCCGGAAAGAAAAGCUCUCGGUUAAUACCCGGGGGUGAUGACGGUACCGGAAGAAUAAGCACCGGCUAACUUCGUGCCAGCCGCCGCCGUAA